GUCUCAUCGGAGACAUCCGAUAAAAUUGGAACGAUACAAAGUAGAUUAACAUGACCCUGCACAAGAAUAACACGCACAAAUCGAGAAAUAGGAUUUAU
rnacentral:snRNA from 1 species